rnacentral:rRNA from 1 species
AGUACACGCUGUGACUAGCAUAUCAAUAAGCGGAGGAAAAGAAACUAACAAGGAUUCCCUUAGUAACGGCGAGUGAAGCGGGAAGAGCUCAAAUUUGAAAUCUUCAAGGUUUUACCUUGACGAAUUGUAGUUUAAAGAAGUGUUUUCUGCUGAAGUUUUGGUAAAAGUUCUUUGGAAUAGGACAUCAUAGAGGGUGAGAAUCCCGUAUUUGACCAUUAUUUUCAGCUUUGUGAUACACUUUCAAAGAGUCGGAUUGUUUGGGAAUGCAGUCCAAAAUGGGUGGUAAAUUUCAUCUAAGGCUAAAUAUUGGCGAGAGACCGAUAGCGAACAAGUACCGUGAGGGAAAGAUGAAAAGAACUUUGAAAAGAGAGUUAAAUAGUACGUGAAAUUGUCAAAAGGGAAGCGUUUAACACCAGUGUUGUUUUCUGAAAAUCAACCUCUGUUAGCUUUAUGCAUGUUUGUUUAGACCUAAUCAGCUAUCUUUCAUGUUCUAUUGUUUGCAGUGGUGCACUUUUCAGUUUACAGGUCAACAUCAGUUUUUUUUACCGUAAAAAAGUUAAAGAAAGGUAGCUCAUGGCUCCGGUCGUGAGUGUUAUAGUCUUUUUCCUAUGCGGUAGGAGAGACUGAGGUCUGCAGUGUAGGCUAUUUGGCUAGAUACUCAGGUGCUAUGUGAUACCAUUUCAUAAACAACUUGUUGAUUAUGUUUUGUCUAUUGCAUACUCGCUUGUACUAUCAUACCUACGCUUAGGAUGUUGAGUAGCGACAUACGCAC